AAUACUAUUCUUGGCGUUCGUGCUCAUGUUUUAAUUGCAAAGAGAAAAGUUUUCAUGCAACUGCAGAUAAUCUCAGAGUCAAAGACAAAGUUACAUUAAGAUCGAUGGUCGGUCUGUCUGGGACCCAAGACUAGAGUUUUGUUAGUCAGACAAUUGUAGGUUUAUUCAGCUGGUUACAAUCUAUGACUGGAUAUAUUGGGGGUGGGGGGACCCUGACUGGAGUAUGUUCCCAGUGUGCAGGACAUAUUAAACUGGUGCCGAAUUGAGAAACAACUCUUCCAACUGCUACUCUAGAAUAACGGCAUGUAUGUACUAAAGAUGAAUGUAAUUUCCUUCAUUAUUUUGUGUCAUCUGUGCCUUACCACUUUGCUUUACUAUAAUUUUUUCUUAUCAAUCCUCACAAUUAAGAUAUUAUAUGGUGAGUACAGCACUUAAUUUUGUUUCUUAGAGGGAUAAAGUAUCUUCCAUACAUCAGUUAGGUAAUUAAUUCCUUUCUUAACUGUAUCAUUAUAUCAAUUACAAAGUAACAUAGUCAGUCUGAAGGAAUUGUUCCUAAACAGGCUGCUCAUAACUUUAGUACUUCCUGUAUUUUGGAUAUUUAUGUUCUACCAGAUAAUCAUUCCUCAUGAUGUAAGAUAUGAUAAACAAUCGAAACACAAUACUCAAGCAAUGACAUAAAUGUUAUUUCCAGUAUUAAAAUAGCAAUUAUCUUCUUUCUGUAAUGAGUCUCUGCACAUAGAACAUGACUAUAGCUCACACUACUGAUGAUAUACCUGUAUCAGCAUCAUGUGUGGGGAUGUAGUUAAUAACUUUUCUUUCUCUUCUAUCACAAAAUAGACUGGUUAUUAUUUCACCAUUUACCUUUUACAUUAAUAUAUUUAUUCACGUUGCGUGGUUGAUCUGCAUUAGUUUGAAAUAAUCAGCCUCUUUUAUAAGGUGGAAGAAAGAGAGCUUCUCUUAAGACAUGAUGUAGGUCUCAUAUAUAAUAGGUGGAGACAGUGCUCUAUUACAACAGGUGGUACUUAAAGUUUUGAAAUUGCUAAGUUUAUUUUUAAUAUUUAUAUGAACAAAUCAUAAAUUCAUAGAUGCAAGGCUCAAAUUCACUGACUAAUAGUUAUUCAUUUAAUACAUUUCUUUUUUGGUCACAAAUGUAAUAUCUACAAAUACAGUAUGUAUCCUUCAUAAAUUAAAAUAUUUUCUACAAUUGUAGGUCAAUAAAAUAACUACUUUAUAUUACACUACUGGUAUAUUAUUUACCAUCUUAAUGUUAAUACAAUCCUGAGAUCUUGAAUAAUGGUAGAAUUUGUCUCUGAUCCUGUUGACAGAGAGCAUAAAAUUACAUCAGUGAUUUGGAAACGGCCUGAUCCCAAAAUGGAUCCAAAGAGUAAAGUGCAGAAAAUUAAUGUGCAAAUUUAACCUACUGGAAAACUAUACCUAAUUUCAGAGAUCCAGAAAAAGAAAUGUUAAAUUUAAAUCCAAAAUUUAUAUUCAUUAAAGGCAGUGAAACGAUAAUAUUUGCACCACAGUAAUCACAAAAAUGUCAUUUUCUUAAAAAUAGCCAAAAGAGAAAACAAGUGACUCAGUGAGAAUAGUUCUAUAAACAAAUCUGUAAAUAUUCCAUGUUCAGCAAUUCACUUAUAAGUGGGAUGGCUACUCUUAUAUUGCAAAUAUUUUCCCUUUUAAAAUAUCACUAUGGUUUUCUUUCCCCACAUUUUACAGCUUUGUUUAAAAAUAAAAUUUGUAGUUGAUGCGUAUAGUGUUAAAAGUAAGUGUUCAGUUCCGUGCUGAUUUGCUGCCUAGGUCUACUUUAUUACGCAUAAAAGUGAGAUAUUUUUAAUGCCUCCAUCAUUAUCCACCAAUGGUAAAAGCUUAUCAUUGUAUGUAUUUACAAAUAUUGUUUAUUCAAUUUAGAAUUAAACUGUCUGUCAGUAAACCAUAGACAGAAAUGUGGUAUUUGGUUUUCAAAACAAGACUGUAGAAGUAUGCAGAAUAUACUUAACAGAUGCAUUCUGCAGAAGGUAUCAUAAAUAAUAUGGUUAUGUACAUAAUCUUCCUGUUUCUGAUUUGAAAAGAAUAUGUUGCUGACAUGAGAAAGGGUGUGAUAUUCAAUUCUGUAGGUGCCUUAUUUUAGAUAAAAAGAAUAAUUAAGAAAAAAAUGAACUCUUCUCUUAUAAUAAGAAAACAUUAAAUUCCCAUGCAGCUAUUCACUGUUAGUUGAUAAUUUUUUAAAUUGGUGAGAUGUUAAAACUACACAAGCUUUAUUGAAUGAAUAAACAAUUAAAAUCAAGGCUUCAUUCUUCAUUAUUAUUAAUAAAUACCUGAAAAGAAAAUUAAAUAUAUAUCAUAAAUUGUUUAAUAUAUGCAUCAAAAUCAUACUGUAAUAGGCCACAUACAUUAGAAUAGAAAUCUGAUUUCAGUGCAGUUCAUACAACUACUACAACUGAUGUUAACAGCACAAUCAGUUAUAUUUUAAUUGCAUCUGUAUUUAAAUUCAUGUGGACCUAUAAAUUCAGAUGGGAGAAAGUAUCAUUUUCUUAUUGAGAAUAGGGUACUUCAUUAAUCUUCAAGUUUAUUAGGAAACCCUGCUGAUUUUGAAUACACAGGUUUGAAAAUGUACAAAUAGUUUUCCCUUUCUUUAACUACCUCAAGAAUUGCACAAUUUACAUAAAAAGUGUAUUGGGCACAGGAUAUGUCCACCACUUUUCUCUCCAACAUAUGUUUGAAACAUUCUUUGGUCUGAUAAAUAUAUAACCAUUUAUGCCCAAGAUAUGUAAACAAAUACAUAUAGGUUUUCAUGUAAAAUGUCUGUUACUCUUUUCCAGUUUUAAACCAAGAUUAAAAGAUCUGACAAAUGUUACUUAAACACUCCACUAUCAAAUUUCAUGAAAAACCAUUAAGAAAUUCUACAGUUGUUUCAUACAUACAAACAGAUUAAUAGAUUUAGAGAAUUUAAUAUUUGCCAUGCAUGGUUAUGAAUGCACUUAAAUUAAUAAGAGGUUUAGGGUAGGAAUAUAGUAAUAUAUUAGUUUGCAACAUCUUUAAAAGCAGAACCUAAUAUCACAAGUUCUUAUUUUCUACAAAUUAAAUUUUGUUGUCACUCUCAGUCUUGAAAGGAUAAAAAAUCAGAAUUAGUAUUCAUGAAUGUGUCAGGGCUACUGCCAGAGUAAAUUUCAAUAUUCAUACAGUUCUGUGGCUUUCUGGAGCAGUAAUUUUUCAUAGUUCACUAGACAGAUGCCUUUCAUAGAUGCUAGAAAUAGGCAGGAUGUUUAUCAAGUCAGGACUCAGUACAUCACAUUUAAAAAAUAUCUACUAGUACAAUACAUUGCCAAAUUGUAUUCAUUUGCCAAGACAAGAAAAUAUGUAAUGUUCAGGGAUCUGUGUACGUUAGUUGAAAGCUUAUUUUCUUACUAUGAUAAUCUGUAAAUUAUGCCCUAAACUGAAUACAGUUUAUAGUAUGCAUUCCUAAUGUACAUGUCUUUAAGACAUAAAUUUCCGUAAACAAAAAGAUAAGUUAAAUUACCAACCAUGGUUUUAUUGUGUACAACCCUUUGACAACACCAUACAUAUAAGCUGUAUCCUAACUAACUAAUUCAUUCAGGUGCCAUUCACCUGACAUCAGUCCAUUUGGGAGACCAGGCCAACUUAGAAUGUAUUAAAAUUUUUUCAUGGUAUACCCAGUUCUUAUAGUGCAGUGUCUGCUUUUGUCAACCAUCGCAUGCUUUUACUGGCAGAUCGUUUUGCUGUAAAAAUAAGAAUUAUAUCCAACUUUUACUAGUUCUACUACAGAUAAACAGGGACAAGAUCUUCACUUAACACCAACAAACAUGAAUCCCAAAAUAUAAACAUUUUAUAUAUAAGUGUAGCCUAAGCUGGCCCAUCUCUCUAUAACAUUUAUAACUGAAAUAAAUAUAUAAUUUGAGAAAGCACUUUCAGAAAUAUUUCAAUUUAUGUUACUGUGGCAGACUGAAUAUAAGCCAUUCCAUAUCAGUAAAUAUAGUGUACACUUUUCAUAACAUUAUAGUACAGAAACUUGUACAGACAGUAUUUUCGAAGAUAAGUGUGACAUAUAUUACAAGCUAAAAUACAUAUGAAGCAGACACUUUACACUACCUUCUGUUAGAUUGAUGGUACAACAAAAUCAUUUACUGUACAUCACCAUGCUAUGUAAAUGUAUGUUCUGCAUAUGAAAUUACUUUCAUAAUACCACUUAAAGGUACAUGUAGCUAUAUCAAUUUUCAUUAUUCUUACAGCAGCGAUCAGGACAAUGAUGAAUUCAAUUCUCGAAUCGCAGUAUGAUCUGAAUAUCAUCCUUGUGACUGACAAGAACCAGUACUGCUUGUGCCUGAAUUUUGCAAGUUAUUUUGGAGUAUACUGUUCAUCCAUUUUGUUUUCUUCCAUUUGCAAAUAAGAGCAGUCUUUUAAAUGUGUAUAUUACACAUAAAACUUAUUUUUAAUAACUUGUAACAAACAAUAUUUCUCAUACUUGUCUCAUAGAUAUUUUUGUAAUAAAAUUUGAUGAUUCCUUCUAAUACUAAUAAUUAAACAACAGCAAAUGUAUUUAUACUGUUAACUUGUAUUUUCAGAUAUGUCUAUCUGUUAAAAAAAUAUGUGAAAUAGAACAAUUUGAAGAAGUCAUAAAUGUAACAUCAUGGAGCAUUAAGAAUAUGUAAAUGGACUGGAAUGCAUAGUAAAUAAGGUUUCUUGCAUUUCCUGCUGUUUGAAGCCAUCUAGGCUACUGUCAGCUCAGUAAGUGCAUAUUAAAAAAACUGGGGAAUUAACAAUUUUUUUAAUUUGUUAUAAGUCAUGAAUCUCAAAUCAGUGAAUAAUUGUACGAGAAAUGUCAUUAAAUUUGGGAAAUCUCUUGUAUUUAACUGUUGUAUCAUUGUCCAAGGGCAUUCAUACCUAUCAAAGAGAUUAUCCAUGGUGAAGACAUACCAGAUGAGUCUUAAUCAAUUCUAACAUUUCUGCUCCAGUAUACCCAGCUUUAGUAAAUAUAAAAUUAUUUACAACCAACAGACAGACAAUCCUCUCCACAGUGCAGGUCAGACUCAUUACAAUGUAUGCCUACUCAUCUUGGUUUCUUUUCCUUUACAUAAGUGUAUGCACCAUGUGCUGAAACUGCUAUUUCAGUGAUGCAAGUUGGAACGAAAGGAGUGUAAUCUGUGCAUGAAAUACCAUAUAUCAAAAUGCAUAUUUCAUAUGUCUCUAUGUUUUGUACCUCAUCACACUUCUUACUUUUUUUUUUAAUUAUCAGACACUUUCUCUUAUUAGAAUUCAUUAAGAUAAUGGCAUUUAAUCAAUUGAU